UACGAAGGGGGCUAGCGUUGCUCGGAAUCACUGGGCGUAAAGGGUGCGUAGGCGGGUCUUUAAGUCAGGGGUGAAAUCCUGGAGCUCAACUCCAGAACUGCCUUUGAUACUGAGAUCUUGAGUUCGGGAGAGGUGAGUGGAACUGCGAGUGUAGAGGUGAAAUUCGUAGAUAUUCGCAAGAACACCAGUGGCGAAGGCGGCUCACUGGCCCGAUACUGACGCUGAGG
rnacentral:rRNA from 1 species